rnacentral:rRNA from 1 species
AUUGAACGCUGGCGGCAGGCCUAACACAUGCAAGUCGAGCGAGCGGCGGACGGGUGAGUAAUGUCUGGGAAACUGCCUGAUGGAGGGGGAUAACUACUGGAAACGGUAGCUAAUACCGCAUACCAUCAGAUGUGCCCAGAUGGGAUUAGCUAGUCGGUGGGGUAACGGCUCACCUAGGCGACGAUCCCUAGCUGGUCUGAGGGGAUGACCAGCCAAACGGGAACGGAGACACGGUCCAGACGCCUACGGGAGGAAGCAGUGGGGAAUAUGGCACAAGGGGCGCAAGCCUGAUGCAGCCAUGCCGGGUGUGUGAAGAAGGCCUUCGGGUUGUAAAGCACUUUCAGCGGGGAGGCGUUACCCGCAGAAGAAGCACCGGCUAACUCCGUGCCAGCAGCCGCGUAAUUC